rnacentral:lncRNA from 1 species
UGCUGUGGCUACGUUCAUGUAUUUAGUUACCUAUGUGAUGAGCUACAGCAACUACUCAGAAUCAGCAGAAAGAUAGCUCUGCAAUUUGGCAUCCUCAGCAAGAAUAUGCAGGAAUGCUCAGGGCCUGUGGUGAACUAACUCUGCCUAGAGUGUGCCCCUGGUGAUAUUUGUUUGCAAGUCAUUGACAGAAGUGAAGUUUCCACCAAGAUUCAGCUGAGACCUUGCCGCUGCAGGCUAAGAUCCUCAACUCUCUAGUGUGGACGUCACAUCUGGAAUCUUGUGUCUUCUGAUUGAGGCCCCCUGGCACACAGUGAGGAGGUGGAAUUAGGUGCCCUGGCAUCCUUCCAUUAUCUGAUCAGACUUGUAUCGUUCCUUGGUGAAACUGUUGUCUAGUCUUCCAGCUGUUCCUUUUACGGUCUGUCUGCUUACCAAGUUGUCAAUUAGAGAAAAAGUCUACAAGAAGAUACCAGGCAGAGGCUCUAUAAUUCUAUCCUUGUGCUGGCCCUGGGGGCUGGGAAGUUCAGGUCUCCUCAGACCACUCUCUUUGAACCAACUCUUUGUCUUGAGUCUCCAUUACAAAUUAUGCAAAGACAUCCUCCUUAGUUUUGUCUUUGUGUUAGUACUUUAAUUUUAUCUGCUUGGAAUCAGGAGGUUUGUCCACCCCAUGUUUGGUGACCAUUAACCUUUGGCCAAUUUAUAAAGACAUGAGUUACACA